AGCGAACGCUGGCGGCAGGCUUAACACAUGCAAGUCGAGCGGGCAUCCUUGUGGUGUCAGCGGCAGACGGGUGAGUAACGCGUGGGAACGUGCCCUUCGGUUCGGAAUAACUCAGGCAAACUUGAGCUAAUACCGGAUACGUGCGAGAGCAGAAAGGUUUAUCUGCCGAAGGAUCGGCCCGCGUCUGAUUAGCUAGUUGGUGAGGUUACGGCUCACCAAGGCGACGAUCAGUAGCUGGUCUGAGAGGAUGAUCAGCCACACUGGGACUGAGACACGGCCCAGACUCCUACGGGAGGCAGCAGUGGGGAAUAUUGGACAAUGGGGGCAACCCUGAUCCAGCCAUGCCGCGUGAGUGAUGACGGCCUUAGGGUUGUAAAGCUCUUUUCUCCGGGACGAUAAAGACGGUACCGGAGGAAUAAGCCCCGGCUAACUUCGUG
rnacentral:rRNA from 1 species